rnacentral:lncRNA from 1 species
GUUACAUUCAUUUCAAAAUUGUGAAACCACAAGAUUUGCCAUGACCAAAUAUUCAUUUUCCAUUUGUACUUAAUUCCAACAUUUAAUAAUUUACAAGCAAACAAUGAAAUUUUCACAUUAAUAAUAAUUUAAGUAACAAUUGAUAUACAUAAUCAUAAGGAAACAAACAUAUAUAUUAUAUACUACAAACUUACCUCGACAAAUAUAGUUGUAAAAAUGAAGCAGCCGACAAAUCUGACACAUUAGGUUUUCCCCGGUUUACAUCUGUUUGGUUCGUUUGUUGAUCAUACAUGUAAAAACUCCAUGAUCGGAAGCUUCCUCCUCUCUGUUAUUCGGUUUGCAAAAUAACAAAUUAGAGGAGAUGAUAACAUUUUUGUCUUUUAGUUUGUUUUAAUUUCCAUUUAACUACAAAUUUACAAUUUUUCCCUUAAAAAAUCAAAUUUCAUGCAUUUAAUCUCCCAAAACCAUCCACCCUAAGUUCAUUUGGUGCAUUUACCAUUUAAGUCCAUUAGUUUGAUAAUCCAUUAUAAAUUGACCCCUUUACCUAAUAGAAAUCAAUUUUUGCACCUUUUUCAAUUUAGUGAUUUUUACUUACUUAAUUAUUUGUACACAUAAUAUAAAUCUGUUACAUUCAUUUCAAAAUUGUGAAACCACAAGAUUUGCCACGACCAAAUAUUCAUUUUCCAUCUGUACUUAAUUCCAACAUUUAAUAAUUUACAAGCAACCAAUGAAAUUUCACAUUAAUUAUAAUUUAAGUAACAAUUGAUAUACAUAAUCAUAAGGAAACAAAAAUAUAUAUUAUAUACUACAAACUUACCUCGAUAAAUAUAGUUGUAAAAAUGAAGCAGCCGACAAAUCUGACACAUUAUGUUUUCCCCGGUUUACAUCUGUUUGGUUCGUUUGUUGAUCAUGCAUGUAAAAACUCCAUGAACGGAAGCUUCUUCCUCUCUGUUAUUCGGUUUGCAGAAUAGCAAAUUACAGGAGAUGAUAACAUUUUUGUCAUUUAGUUUGUUUUAAUUUCCAUUUAAUUACAAAUUUACAAUUUUUCCCUUAAAAAAUCAAAUUUCAUGCAUUUAAUCACCCAAAACCAUCCACCCUAAGUUCAUUUGGUGCAUUUGCCAUUUAAGUUCAUUAGUUUGAUAAUCCAUAAUAAAUUGACCCCUUUACCUAAUAGAAAUCUAUUUUUGUACCUUUUUCUAUUUAGUGAUUUUUACAUAAUUAAUUAUCUGUACACAUAAUAUAAAUAUGUUACAUUCAUUUCAAAAUUGUGAAACCAC